GCCGCGGUCUGGUAUGGAAAGCGCGUGCCAAGUGUGUUCGCGAGACCAGCAGAGCGGCGCGGUUGGCCGGGAUGAUUUCCCCGUUCAAUCUAAUCUAGGAGAUAGGAGUGUUUUGAUGAAGGAUCAGCGAGGUGAAUUGCUAGCCGUGACUUUGAACCCCGGGUUUUCACCCGAAAAUCAGAAAACCAUUUCAUACCCAAGAAACAGGUUCCAGCUGUGCAGUCCGAGCUGCUGGUUCCAGAGGAGUAACAUACAGUUGGAAAGAAAAAAAGGCGAUACGUAUAAAAGAUGACAGAGCGUCAGGUCCGUCUCCCAGAUCUGUGGACCAGAGUCCUGCAAUCCUGCCUGCCUGGAUGUGCUCAUGGCUGGAGACCCACCCCCACCGCUUCUCCUCACCCACACAGGUACCUG